AUGAUUCACACUCAAUUAAUCAAAAAUCUUCAAAACAACUUAACAACAACAACAACUAUGAAGUUUAAUCUCUUAACACAACAAUUUCAUGAAGUUUAUCAUACCCACAAAUUUACAUGAAUUAGGAGCACGAAUUUCAUCAUUCGAAACCUCAAAAGUCACAAUUAUCACAAAAACACUUAAAUUCAUAAUUGAAAAUAGGAGAUUAUACCUUAAUUAGUGAAAAGAAACCAUCCCCCUUAACUUUAGUUCUUCAAGAAUCUAAACCCUAGCUUCACUUUAGCUAAUAGUCUCCAUUCCCAAGCUCUCUCUCUCUAGUUCCCCUUCUCUUCCUCUUGAUCCACUUUCUCUCUCUACCUCUAUCUCAAAAUGUUUGUGAAAUGAGUGAAUGAAUGU
rnacentral:lncRNA from 1 species